rnacentral:lncRNA from 1 species
UCGUCGAGAUCAGGAACUCGAAGGUAAGCGCGGACACAUGAUUUAGACAGGUUCGAGUUGCUAAAUUGCAUAAUACCCUACGUCCUAUGUGUUGGUUGGAUUGAAUUGCUUUGGAGGGGGUCUCUGCCUCACCUUAUAUUGCCAUGGGCAGAGUUUCAGGUCGGUUGAUUACAAGAAUAUUAGUCGGAUUCAACUAGACGAGUUCUACUCCUAUUGCUAAGAGUACUUUUCCUAAUCCUCGACUAGUUCAUACCUUUGCCAUGUAGACUAUGCCGUACCAUAGUCUCCAUGUCAGAUACGUCUCGGUGUCUAGCCCCAUAUUUAGGACUGUCCAAACAUUCUGAUGGGCCCAUAGAUGUAUGUAUGAUAAGCCCCCGAGUACUUUUUAGUCAAAUGCAGCAGUUCCGUGUACUUUUGCUGGCUUCACCGACUAGUUUUGGUACUCUUCGAGUGUUUCA